CCUACGGGGUGCAGCAGUGGGGAAUAUUGCACAAUGGGGGAAACCCUGAUGCAGUGACGCCGCGUGAAGGAAGAAGUAUCUCGGUAUGUAAACUUCUAUCAGCAGGGAAGAAAAUGACGGUACCUGACUAAGAAGCCCCGGCUAACUACGUGCCAGCAGCCGCGGUAAGACGUAGGGGGCAAGCGUUAUCCGGAUUUACUGGGUGUAAAGGGAGCGUAGACGGAAGAGCAAGUCUGAUGUGAAAGGCUGGGGCUUAACCCCAGGACUGCAUUGGAAACUGUUUUUCUAGAGUGCAGGAGAGGUAAGCGGAAUUCCUAGUGUAGCGGUGAAAUGCGUAGAUAUUAGGAGGAACACCAGUGGCGAAGGCGGCUUACUGGACGGUAACUGACGUUGAGGCUCGAAAGCGUGGGGAGCAAACAGGAGUAGAUACCCUUGUAGUC
rnacentral:rRNA from 1 species